rnacentral:rRNA from 1 species
AGAGUUUGAUUCUGGCUCAGGAUGAACGCUGGCGGCAUGCCUAAUACAUGCAAGUCGAACGGGAGUGCUGCACUCCAGUGGCGAACGGGUGAGUAAUACAUAGGUAACCUGUCCUUAAGACGAGGAUAGCUUCUAGAAACGGAAGAUAAAACUGGAUAGGACAUCACAAAUCACAUGAUUAGAUGUUUAAAAGAGCAAUCUACUUAAGGAGGGGCCUGUGGCGCAUUAGCCAGAUGGCGGGGUAAUGGCCCACCAUAGCGAUGAUGCGUAGCCGGUCUGAGAGGACGAACGGCCACAUUGGGACUGAGACACGGCCCAGACUCCUACGGGAGGCAGCAGUAGGGUAAUUUUCGGCAAUGGGCGGAAGCCUCGACCGAGCAAUGCCGCGUGAAUGAAGAAGUUAUUUCGGUAUGUAAAGUUCUUUUAUUUGGGACGAAAAAACAAAUUGACGGUACCAAAUGAAUAAGCCCCGGCUAACUAUGUGCCAGCCGCGGC